rnacentral:lncRNA from 1 species
CUUGGUGAUGGCUGAAUUAGAAAAGAUGCUGAGACACCCGGGGUAUGGAGCAAGCAGCAACCGUAACGGGAAGGGUCAUUUUACUCAAGGAGUUUCCUCUGAGCCAAGUUUUCACUAGAGACCCAGCCCACAGUUACUUCCCACCAUGAGGAAGCACGUACCUACGGUGGCCGCGGAAAGCAGGGAGCCCCUUCUGAUUACUAUCGGAGCAGGCUUAUGUUUACGCCACUUGUUUUCGCAAGGGAGCUUAAGGUCUUCCUUCUGUGAAGCGAAGAGAGGAGUGUUGACGGUGCCUGUUUUUCUGUAAUGGACCUAUUUGGCAAAAUGAGAUAACCGAGACUUGCCCCAAAUCAUAUAAGUAGAGGUAGAGCCAGGGCUUGACCCCAGGCCGGCAGGACUCCAGUGCUCGUUGUCUCCAGUGCAGCCCCUUGCACAAGUGCCGGCAUUCUCCCAACUUCCAGCUGACCAUCUCCGGCUGUAAGUUCCACCAGCACCUCGAAUUUAAUAUGUGAAAGCAAAAUUCAUGCCUCCUCUGUCUGCUCCGGUUAGCAUCCCUGUUCUUCCUCUCUCAGGCUUAAAACCUCCACUUGUUCUUUUCUCUUCCCACUCCUUUCUUGCCCCAUCCAGAAGGUUGCCUGGCCUCAUCGACGUCCGACCCAGACUUCCCAUUCCUGUGGCUGCGUGGCAGGCGAGCCCAUGCGGCCUCUCCCC